GCAACAGCUCAAAUUUGAAAUCUGGCGCAAGCCCGAGUUGUAAUUUGCAGAGGAUGUUUCGGGUGAAGCCACGGUCCAAGUCCCUUGGAACAGGACGUCAUAGAGGGUGAGAACCCCGUACCUGGCCGUCGGUGCCCCCCGCUGUGAAACUCCUUCGACGAGUCGAGUUGUUUGGGAAUGCAGCUCUAAAUUGGUGGUAAAUUCCAUCUAAAGCUAAAUACCGGCCAGAGACCGAUAGCGCACAAGUAGAGUGAUCGAAAGAUGAAAAGCACUUUGAAAAGAGAGUUAAAAAGUACGUGAAAUUGUUGAAAGGGAAGCGCUUGCGGCCAGACUUGCCCGCGGUUGCUCAGCCCGCCUUUUGGCGGGUGCACUCUUCCGCGGUCAGGCCAGCAUCGGUUUGGGCGGUCGGAUAAAGGCGUUGGGAACGUGGCCUCCCCUCGGGGAGGUGUUAUAGCCCGGCGCGCAAUGCGACCAGCCCGGACCGAGGUUCGCGCUUUGCUAGGAUGCUGGCGUAAUGGCCGUAAGCGGCCCGUCUUGAAACACGGACCAAGGAGUCUAACAUCUAUGCGAGUGUUUGGGUGUCAAACCCGUGCGCGUAAUGAAAGUGAACGGAGGUGGGAACCGCAAGGUGCACCAUCGACCGAUCCUGAUGUCUUCGGAAGGAUUUGAGUAAGAGCAUAGCUGUUGGGACCCGAAAGAUGGUGAACUAUGCGUGAAUAGGGUGAAGCCAGAGGAAACUCUGGUGGAGGCUCGCAGCGGUUCUGACGUGCAAAUCGAUCGUCAA
rnacentral:rRNA from 2 species